CCCUUAGAUGUCCUGGGCUGCACGCGCGCUACACUGAUGCAUUCAACGAGUUUCUUCCUGGUCCGAGAGGAAUGGGUAACCUUUUGAAAGUGCAUCGUGAUAGGGAUAGACUAUUGCAAUUAUUGGUCUUCAACGAGGAAUUCCUAGUAGACGUAGUUCAUCAGACUGCAUCGAUUACGUCCCUGCCCUUUGUACACACCGCCCGUCGCUCCUACCGAUUGAAUGCUCAGGUGAGCCAUUCGGACUUUCAUCAUGCUGGUUUCCAGUUUUGAUGAAGGAAAGUCUUGCGAACCUUAUCAUUUAGAGGAAGGAGAAGUCGUAACA
rnacentral:rRNA from 1 species